rnacentral:rRNA from 1 species
UACAGGGGGUGCAAACGUUGCUCGGAAUCAUUGGGCGUAAAGCGCACGUAGGCGGUCUGUUAUGUCGGAUGUGAAAGCCCUUGGCUCAACUGAGGAAGUGCAUCCGAAACUGGCAGGCUAGAGUACUAAAGAGGAUCGCGGAAUUCCCGGUGUAGAGGUGAAAUUCGUAGAUAUCAAGCGGAACACCGGUGGCGAAGGCGGCCUUCUGGACAGUGACUGACGCUGAGACGCGAAAGCGUGGGGAGCAAACAGG